GCUUUUGCAUUGUGUUGAUCAAACCAUUAAACACAAAAUGAGUUCAUUUUUAGUAGAUAACUCAGAUACCCUAUUGAUUCUUCUCUUAGUCUUUAGUUCUCUUUUUGUCAUUCACAAUGUUAUUAGCAAUGGAAAACAACAAUUCAAAAUAGAUCUCACUCACUUUCAUGAUGAGACUAUAUAUUGAUCGAAUUCACAAGAAAUUUAAGGUUAAUCAAGAGAAAAAUGAUGUCCAUAGUUUGUGCUGCAACUUAUCUUUUAGAGUAGUAUUCUGAUAAGCUAGCAGGAGAGGUAGCUGCAGAUUUUGGAUAUCCAACCCUUUUGAUCCACCAUGUAUAUAUGUAACGUCAAGAAAGCAGUUCAUUUUGCUUGGAAAAAGCCCUGUAAUGCAAAGGUUUGCAAGGGGAAACUAAAACUAGAUCUUACGCAAUUUCGUGAUGGAAGUGUUGGUCGAAUUCACAAAAAAAAGGUUAAACAUGAAAUGGGGAUAGCUGAUGCCUGAUUUCCUAUCCUAGCCUUUUCCUUGGCCAUGUAUGUAAGCAAUUCAUAUAGUUUUUAAAAGUCUUCUCAAUAAUGUAUGUUUAAUUCUAUCAUCGUUGUUAGAUUCUUGUAAUGCAACGGUUGGAUAUUUGGAUCCGUUUUACUUGUGGAUUUUAAUCUGUAUUUUCUUGACCUUGUGUUGCAAAGAUUGUACAUAUUGGUGCAGAAACAGAGAGUGUGCACAAAAUCAAAAAAAAAUUCUGUUUUAAUCUGUUUUACUUAA